GGAGAGGUGGCCGAGCGGCUGAAGGCGGCACCCUGCUAAGGUGUUGUGCGGGCAACCGUACCGAGGGUUCGAAUCCCUCCCUCUCCG
rnacentral:tRNA from 1 species